rnacentral:rRNA from 1 species
CCUACGGGAGGCAGCAGUAAGGAAUAUUGGCCAAUGGACGCAAGUCUGAACCAGCCAUGCCGCGUGGAGGAUUAAGGCCCUCUGGGUUGUAAACUCCUUUUAUCUGGGAAGAAAUCCAUAUAUUCUUAUAUGAUUGACGGUACCAGAGGAAUAAGCACCGGCUAACUCCGUGCCAGCAGCCGCGGUAAUACGGAGGGUGCGAGCGUUAUCCGGAUUUAUUGGGUUUAAAGGGUCCGUAGGCGGAUCUGUAAGUCAGUGGUGAAAUCUCAUAGCUUAACUAUGAAACUGCCAUUGAUGCUGCAGGUCUUGAGUGAGAUUGAGGUAGCUGGAAUAAGUAGUGUAGCGGUGAAAUGCAUAGAUAUUACUUAGAACACCAAUUGCGAAGGCAGGUUACCAAGUCUUAACUGACGCUGAUGGACGAAAGCGUGGGGAGCGAACAGGAUUAGAUACCCUGGUAGUCCACGCCGUAAACGAUGCUAACUCGUUUUUGGGCUUUCGGGUUCAGAGACUAAGCGAAAGUGAUAAGUUAGCCACCUGGGGAGUACGUUCGCAAGAAUGAAACUCAAAGGAAUUGACGG